rnacentral:rRNA from 1 species
CCUACGGGUGGCAGCAGUGGGGAAUAUUGCGCAAUGGGCGAAAGCCUGACGCAGCGACGCCGCGUGAGGGAUGAAGGUCUUCGGAUCGUAAACCUCUGUCAGCAGGGAAGAACGGUCACUGUGCUAAUCAGCAGUGAAUUGACGGUACCUGCAAAGGAAGCACCGGCUAACUCCGUGCCAGCAGCCGCGGUAAUACGGAGGGGGCGAGCGUUAAACGGAAUUACUGGGCGUAAAGCGCUCGUAGGCGGUAUGUCAAGUCAAGGGUGAAAUCCCCGGGCUCAACGUGGGAACGGCCUUUGAAACUGGCAAACUUGAGUGUGUAAGAGGAGAGUGGAAGUCCAGGUGUAGGAGUGAAAUCCGUAGAUAUCUGGAGGAACAUCAGUGGCGAAGGCGACUAUCUGGCACAUAACUGACGCUGAGGAGCGAAAGCGUGGGUAGCAAACAGGAUUAGAUACCCGUGUAGUC